rnacentral:rRNA from 1 species
GACAGCAGUCGCCGCGGUAAUACAGAGGGUGCGAGCGUUAAUCGGAUUUACUGGGCGUAAAGCGUGCGUAGGCGGCUUUUUAAGUCGGAUGUGAAAUCCCUGAGCUUAACUUAGGAAUUGCAUUCGAUACUGGGAAGCUAGAGUAUGGGAGAGGAUGGUAGAAUUCCAGGUGUAGCGGUGAAAUGCGUAGAGAUCUGGAGGAAUACCGAUGGCGAAGGCAGCCAUCUGGCCUAAUACUGACGCUGAGGUACGAAAGCAUGGGGAGCAAACAGGAUUAGAUACCCGAGUAGUCCCUGUCUCUUAUAC